GCUUACGGCCAUACCAGCCUGAAUACGCCCGAUCUCGUCUGAUCUCGGUAGGUAAGCAGGGUCGGGCCUGGUUAGUACUUGGAUGGGAGACCGCCUGGGAAUACCAGGUGCUGUAAGCU
ensembl:rRNA 5S_rRNA 5S ribosomal RNA